rnacentral:tRNA from 1 species
GCCCGGAUGGCCCAGCGGUUACGGCGCAAGGUUGCUAACCUUGUUUCACGCAAGUGAUUCCCAAGUUCAAAUCUUGGUCCGGGCG